UAUGACCAUAUCACAUUGAAACACCAUUUCUCAUAUGACCAUCAAAGUUAAGCAACAUCAGGCCUGGUCAGUACUUUGAUGAGUGACUGCUUUCGGAGACCAGGUCCUGUAAG